rnacentral:rRNA from 1 species
AUGAACGCUGGCGGCGUGCUUAACACAUGCAAGUCGAACGAAGCACUUUGAAACAAUCCUUCGGGUGCGUUCUUAGUGACUUAGUGGCGGACGGGUGAGUAACGCGUGGGUAACCUGCCUCAUGCAGGGGGAGUAACAGUUAGAAAUGACUGCUAAUACCGCAUAAGCGCACAGUACCGCAUGGUACAGUGUGAAAAGAUUUAUCAGCAUGAGAUGGACCCGCGUCUGAUUAGCUAGUUGGUGAGGUAACGGCUCACCAAGGCGACGAUCAGUAGCCGACUUGAGAGAGUGAUCGGCCACAUUGGGACUGAGACACGGCCCAAACUCCUACGGGAGGCAGCAGUGGGGAAGUAUUGCACAAUGGGGGAAACCCGUACGAUGCAGCGACGCCGCGUGAGCGAUGAAGUAUUUCGGUAUGUAAAGACUCUUAUCAGCAAGGAAGAUAAUGACGGUACUUGACUAAGAAGCCCCGGCUAACUACGUG